rnacentral:rRNA from 1 species
GAUGAACGCUGGCGGCGUGCCUAAUACAUGCAAGUCGAGCGAACAGACGAGGAGCUUGCUCCUCUGACGUUAGCGGCGGACGGGUGAGUAACACGUGGAUAACCUACCUAUAAGACUGGGAUAACUUCGGGAAACCGGAUCUAAUACCGGAUAAUAUAUUGAACCGCAUGGUUCAAUAGUGAAAUACGGUUUUGCUGUCACUUAUAGAUGGAUCCGCGCCGCAUUAGCUAGUUGGUAAGGUAACGGCUUACCAAGGCAACGAUGCGUAGCCGACCUGAGAGGGUGAUAGGCCACACUGGAACUGAGACACGGUCCAGACUCCUACGGGAGGCAGCAGUAGGGAAUCUUCCGCAAUGGGCGAAAGUCUGACGGAGCAACGCCGAGUGAGUGAUGAAGGUCUUCGGAUCGUAAAACUCUGUUAUUAGGGAAGAACAACUGUGUAAGUAACUAUGCACGUCUUGACGGUAACUAAUCAGAAAGCAACGGCUAACUACGUG